rnacentral:misc_RNA from 1 species
GGACUACCGGGGUUUCUAAUCCUGUUUGCUCCCCACGCUUUCGUGCAUGAGUGUCAGUGUCAUCCCAGGGGGCUGCCUUCGCCAUCGGUGUUCCUCCACAUCUCUACGCAUUUCACUGCUACACGUGGAAUUCCACCCCCCUCUGACGCACUCUAGUCUGCCAGUCAGCAAUGCAGUUCCCAGGUUGAGCCCGGGGAUUUCACAUCGCUCUUAACAAACCACCUGCGCACGCUUUACGCCCAGUAAUUCCGAUUAACGCUUGGACCCUACGUAUUACCGCGGCGGCUGGCAC